AGUGAACGCUGGCGGUAGGCCUAACACAUGCAAGUCGAACGGCAGCACAGUAAGAGCUUGCUCUUACGGGUGGCGAGUGGCGGACGGGUGAGGAAUACAUCGGAAUCUACUUUUUCGUGGGGGUUAACGUAGGGCAACUUACGCUAAUACCGCAUACGCCCUACGGGUGAAAGCAGGGGAUCUUCGGACCUUGCGCGAUUGAAUGAGCCGAUGUCGGAUUAGCUAGUUGGCGGGGUAAAGGCCCACCAAGGCGACGAUCCGUAGCUGGUCUGAGAGGAUGAUCAGCCACACUGGAACUGAGACACGGUCCAGACUACUACGGGAGUCAGCAGUGGGGAAUAUUGGACAAUGGGCGCAAGCCUGAUCCAGCCAUACCGCGUGGGUGAAGAAGGCCUUCGGGUUGUAAAGCCCUUUUGUUGGGAAAGAAAAGCAGCAGGUUAAUACCCCGCUGUUCUGACGGUACCCAAAGAAUAAGCACCGGCUAACUUCGUG
rnacentral:rRNA from 1 species